UUGAAUGGUUAAAUGUUAUAAAGCUAGAUGAAAAUAUUAAUAAAAGAAGUAUCAGCUUGUAUGCACCAGUGGUACGAUUUAGACCCAUAGGGGGCACUACAAAUACCAGAAGGUUAUAUCUCAUGACCAAAUCCAUAAAACAUGGUACACACAAUACUAAAUUCCAUAUUUGGUCAAAAUUGUUUUCAGUGGGCAUGGAGUAUAACAUUUAGCUGGUAAUUCAUAUUGUCAUUUAAGCAUGUUUGUUUAAUAGAACAAUUGUUAGUGGACUUUGGUGAAUACACCACGGAAAACACUUCAGAAACUAUAUCAUCACCAGGUAUGAAAGUGUGGUUGUGGACACCAAAGUUGCCAUAAUUUUGCAAAGGAAUGUCCACCAAGGUCAGCACGAAGAAAAGAAGACUUCCAUGCAAGACAGAUGUGCUUUUUUCUGCAUUCUGCAUGGGUGCUGAGCCCCAUGUCAUUGCUGUUUGCAGCUAUAUUUUUUCCUGUUCUUUUCAAUAGUUUGGUUAUUGUAUGCACAUUAUCUCCAAACUAUACUUUGCAUUUGAGGAGGAGAAAACCCCUCCUUUUUGAUCACACUCUUAAUGGAUUACUUUCUUUGCUUUCAAAUUAGUUUGAGUGACCACAUAAUGCAUGUGUCCAAAGGGUCUUCUGCCAAUCUCACACAACAUAUCUCAAAUACACACCUCGUAGGGUCUUCUCCCUCCUCUUCACUCUCCUUUGGGGCUGCAGUUGUUCCAGGAGCUCAUCUCCAAUAAUCUGGGAGAUAACUCUCUCUGAAAAGAGGCAGAAGGGGCUGAACGACGGGGCUUUGUAAAUAUAAAAGAUGCUGUCAACACUCACCAUCUCUCCCAAAACAUCCCACUUCCUGAUCCUGCAGCUUGAAAAUAUGCUGCAGCCAAUCUGCUUUGUAGAAGUCAGAGAAGCCAGCCAAUCCACACAGCAGGACUGUCAACAGAGAGGUUGCUCUUCAUCAUGUUGGAGCAGAAGAUCUUCUGGUAGUGCCGCUCAGUCAUGUUGACCCGUGACGCUCGCAUGUCGCCCUUCAGCAUGCUGGAGCAGCCUUUCUGCACC